UACACUCCUGCGGGAGGCAGCAGUGGGGAAUUUUGGACAAUGGGCGAAAGCCUGAUCCAGCAAUGCCGCGUGAGUGAAGAAGGCCUUCGGGUUGUAAAGCUCUUUUGUCAGGGAAGAAACGGUGAGAGCUAAUAUCUUUUGCUAAUGACGGUACCUGGAGAAUAAGCACCGGCUAACUACGUGCCAGCAGCCGCGGUAAUACGUAGGGUGCAAGCGUUAAUCGGAAUUACUGGGCGUAAAGCGUGCGCAGGCGGUUUUGUAAGUCUGAUGUGAAAUCCCCGGGCUCAACCUGGGAAUUGCAUUGGAGACUGCAAGGCUAGAAUCUGGCAGAGGGGGGUAGAAUUCCACGUGUAGCAGUGAAAUGCGUAGAUAUGUGGAGGAACACCGAUGGCGAAGGCAGCCCCCUGGGUCAAGAUUGACGCUCAUGCACGAAAGCGUGGGGAGCAAACAGGAUUAGAAACCCUUGUAGUCCCAUGA
rnacentral:rRNA from 1 species